rnacentral:rRNA from 1 species
GAUGAACGCUGGCGGCGUGCCUAAUACAUGCAAGUCGAGCGAACGGACGAGAAGCUUGCUUCUCUGAUGUUAGCGGCGGACGGGUGAGUAACACGUGGAUAACCUACCUAUAAGACUGGGAUAACUUCGGGAAACCGUAGCUAAUACCGGAUAAUAUUUUGAACCGCAUGGUUCAAAAGUGAAAGACGGUCUUGCUGUCACUUAUAGAUGGAUCCGCGCUGCAUUAGCUAGUUGGUAAGGUAACGGCUUACCAAGGCAACGAUGCAUAGCCGACCUGAGGGGGUGAUCGGCCACACUGGAACUGAGACACGGUCCAGACUCCUACGGGAGGCAGCAGUAGGGAAUCUUCCGCAAUGGGCGAAAGCCUGACGGAGCAACGCCGCGUGAGUGAUGAAGGUCUUCGGAUCGUAAAACUCUGUUAUUAGGGAAGAACAUAUGUGUAAGUAACUGUGCACAUCUUGACGGUACCUAAUCAGAAAGCCACGGCUAACUACGUGCCAGCAGCCGCGGUAAUACGUAGGUGGCAAGCGUUAUCCGGAAUUAUUGGGCGUAAAGCGCGCGUAGGCGGUUUUUUAAGUCUGGUGUGAAAGCCCACGGCUCAACCGUGGAGGGUCAUUGGAAACUGGAAAACUUGAGUGCAGAAGAGGAAAGUGGAAUUCCAUGUGUAGCGGUGAAAUGCGCAGAGAUAUGGAGGAACACCAGUGGCGAAGGCGACUUUCUGGUCUGUAACUGACGCUGAUGUGCGAAAGCGUGGGGAUCAAACAGGAUUAGAUACCCUGGUAGUCCACGCCGUAAACGAUGAGUGCUAAGUGUUAGGGGGUUUCCGCCCCUUAGUGCUGCAGCUAACGCAUUAAGCACUCCGCCUGGGGAGUACGACCGCAAGGUUGAAACUCAAAGGAAUUGACGGGGACCCGCACAAGCGGUGGAGCAUGUGGUUUAAUUCGAAGCAACGCGAAGAACCUUACCAAAUCUUGACAUCCUUUGACAACUCUAGAGAUGGAGCCUUCCCCUUCGGGGGACAAAGUGACAGGUGGUGCAUGGUUGUCGUCAGCUCGUGUCGUGAGAUGUUGGGUUAAGUCCCGCAACGAGCGCAACCCUUAAGCUUAGUUGCCAUCAUUAAGUUGGGCACUCUAAGUUGACUGCCGGUGACAAACCGGAGGAAGGUGGGGAUGACGUCAAAUCAUCAUGCCCCUUAUGAUUUGGGCUACACACGUGCUACAAUGGACAAUACAAAGGGCAGCGAAACCGCGAGGUCAAGCAAAUCCCAUAAAGUUGUUCUCAGUUCGGAUUGUAGUCUGCAACUCGACUACAUGAAGCUGGAAUCGCUAGUAAUCGUAGAUCAGCAUGCUACGGUGAAUACGUUCCCGGGUCU